rnacentral:tRNA from 1 species
CAGAAUGUGGCUAAAUUAGUAAAGCACCUCCCUUACACUGAGGAAAUAUCCGUGCAACUCGGAUCAUCCUGA